GACCCCAGAGUCAGGCGGAGAUUACCGCAUGAGGUUUAGGCCAAACUAUGCAUAAGCGGAGGAAAAGAAAUAAAGGAUUUACCUAGUAAACGGCAAAGAGCGAACACGGGAAGCAAGCAGAAUAUAGAAAAAUCGGAAACGAGACCCCGCGUUCGAAUUGUUGUACUGGAGAAGCGGUCCUCGCAGCGCGGACAGGGCGGCCGAGUCCCCUAGUAAAGGGGCGCGGAGAGGAGUGAGAGCCCGUCGUGCGCGGACGCCUGUUCGACCACGAGGCGUGUCUACGAGUCGGGGUUGUUUGGGAGAAUGCAGCCAGCAUAGAGGCGAAGUGAAUUUCCGUCCAGGCUAAUACGGGCGAGAGACCGUAGCGAACAAGGUACGCGAGGGAAAGAUGAAAGGACUUUGAAAGAGAGUAAAGAGUGCUUGAAUUGUACGCAGCGGAAGCGGAUGGAAGAACCGGACGGAUGCGCCCCGGUGUAUGUGGACAGGUGAGAGACAACGUCCGACGAAUCUUACUUCGGGGCGCGACGGCCAGCACGAGGAUAUAUCGGGGAAAAGAAGCGGACACAAAGCCGAAGGGGCCUUUGAAUACGGACCAACGACGGAAGCUCGUCUCUUGGAUAGCGUGGGAAUGCAGCGCGCGCCCUUGGCGGUGCUACACCUGGCAGCGCUCGGCGGGUCGGCUUCUUUGGGGCUCUCCAUUCGAACCCGUCUUUGAAAACACGGACCAUAGGAGUCUGACUGUGUGUGCGAGUCACGGGCGAGUAAACGUAAGGCGCAAGGAAGCUGAUUGGGCGGAUCCUCACAGGGUAGUGCCGCCACCGACCUUGAUCUUUGGAGGGUUCGGUGCCGAAGCAUACCUGUCGGGACCGAAGAUGGGUGAAGCUAUGCUGAGCGGGGCGAAGCCAGGGGAAACUCUGGUGGCAGGCCCGCGCGAAGCAUACUGACGUGCAAAUCGUUUCGUUGACUUGGAGUAUAUGGGGCGAAAGACUAACGAACCGUCUAGUUAGCUGGUUCCAAUCCGAAGUUUUCCCUCAGGAUAGGCUGGAGGGGCUGGCGCGAGAGUUCUAUUCGGGUAACCAAUGAUAGAGGCAUCGGGGGUAACGCCUUCCGACUAUUCUCAAAGCUUUAAAAAUAGGUAGGGGCGGCGGCUGCUUCGUUGGGCGCGCCAUCGGAAUAAGCAAGCUGCCAGUGGGCCAUUUUUGUAAGCGAGCUGGCGAUGAGCAGUGGUAUGAACCGGCAAGCCGGGAUUACGGGUGCCCGCAAAUGCGGGGCUACACUAGAUCCCACAAGGGUGUGGUCGAUUAAGAGCAGCAAGGGGGUGGUCAUGGUAAGUUCGAAAUGCCGCUAAGGAGUGUGUAACAAUGCCCUGCGAAUGCACUUAGCCCGGCGAAAAUGCAUGGCGGCUUUAAGCGCCGACUAUACGCGUCGGAGGCGAGUAGGCCCGAUUGAGUAGGAGGGCGCGGCGGGUCGCACUGCAAAACCUUUUUGGGCCGCGAGCCCGGCGGAGCGGCGUCGGUGAGAUCUUGGUGGUUAGGUGAGCAAUAUUCAGAAUGAGACUUUGAAGGCGAGAGGGAAAGGUUCCAUGUGACGCACUUGAGCACAUGGGUUAGUCGAUGCCUAAGGGUAGGGGUAAAAAAGGCCCGACGACAGCGCGUUUGGGCGUGCGCGAAGGGAAUCGGUUAAAUUCCUGAAACGGGACACGUGGCGCUGUUGACACGCAACGUUAGGUGAUAUCGGACGGAGCGCGUGGGCGGGGCUCGGGAAAGAGUUAUCUUUUCUGUUAUUUAACAGCUCUGGCCACCGUCGGAAAGCGAGCUAGCCGGAGGUAGGGUCGCAGCGGCUGGAAAGAGCACCAUCCGUCGCGUGUGUCGCGUGGCGCCGGCGGGGCCUUGUAAAAUCGCCGGAGGACCGAUUGCCGUCGCACGGCCGGUCGUUAUAGAUAGAACGCUCUCAGGGUUCCAGAGGUGAACAGCUCUGUGGCCAAAUGGAGACAAUUAGGAAGGGAAGUCGGCAAAAUGGAGUGCGCGUAACUUCGUGUGAAAAGGAUUGGCUCUGAGGGAUGGGCCACGGGGAGUCCCAGUCCCCGAACAUGCGUCGCUGUUCGCGGACUGCUCGGCGCGUACCGGCGAGACGGUGCCGCGGUGCGGCCGGGGGACGGACUUGGGGGAACGGGCCUUUCGGGGGCCUUUCCUCGGGCGUCGACAGCCACUUAGAACUGUACGGACUGAAGGGGAUCCGACUGUUUAAUUAUAAACAAAGGCAUUGCGAUGGUCCCUGCGGAUGAUCUAACGUCAAUGUGAUUUUCUGCCCAGUUGCUCUGAUGAGUCAAGAGUGAAGAGCAUUGCAACCAAGCGCGGGUAACGGCGGGAGAGAACUAUGACUUCUUAAGGUAGCCAAUGCCUGUCAUCUUAAUAGUGACGCUUGUUCUAUGAAUGGAAUUACGGAGAUUCCACAUGUCACUGUCUACUAAUCAGCUGAACCACAGCCAAGGGAACGGGCUUGGAGAUAUCAGCGGGGAAGAAGACCGCUGUUGAGCGUUGAGCUUCUAGUCCGACUUUGUGAAAUGAUUGUAGAUGUGUAAGGAUAAGUGGCAGAUGGCCGAAGGGCGAGAGUGAAAUACACUAUUUUACGUUAUUUUACUUAUGCCGUGAAAUCGGAUGGCGGGGCCAUUGCCCCUCUUUUUGGAGCGCCAAGGCUCGGCUUGGCGGGCCGAUCCGGCGCGGAGAAUUGUCAGGUGGGGAGUUUUGGCUGGUAGGCGGAAUCUGUUAAAGAUGAGCGCAGGUGGUCGCUAAGAUGAGCUCAACGGAGAAGCAAGGAAUUUGUGUUUGAACAGAAGGGUAAGGCUCGUGUUUGAUGUUGAUUUGCGCAGUACGGAAUACGCCGUGAAGCGUGGCUAACGAUCGCUUUUUGGACCUUUUCGGAGGGUUCGAGAGCUAGAGGGUUUUAGGAGAUUCAGAAAGGUUACCACGAGGGAUUAACUGGCUGUGUUUUGUGCAGGCAAGCGUUUCAAUAGCGACGUUUUUGUUUUUUGAUCUUCGGAUGUCGCUCUUUCUACAUUGGGGUGAAGGAUUCACGCAGUGUUGGAUUAGUUCACCCACCAAUAGGGAACGUGAGCUGGUUUAGACUCGUCGUGAAGCAGCGUUAGUUUUACCGUAUGAUGAACAGUGUCGGCAAUAGUAAUUCAAAUCUGUACGAGAGGAACGUUGUAUUGCACAUUGGUUAUGCGCGUUGGUUCUGAAUAAGGAGCAGUGUGCGCGAAGCUACGUGGCAGUUGGAUUAUGGACUGAACGUCUAAGUCGAAUCCGGUGUAGAGCCGAGCAUGGCGCUCGGUCGUCCUUUGCCCGACCCGCAGGUUGAGGGGCCAUUUGGCUCCCAGGUGUCAGGCGUAGGUCGUUGGCGUAAGGCCGUGUGGCGGAAGGGUCAGGUGGCCUGUUGAAUUAUCGAAUUCGCGAUGCGAGCGCGCGAGCUGAAUCGCUUUGAGGACGAUUAAAUACGGCGAGUGUAGGUAUUGUAAGGGUAUGAGUGGCCUUGUCUGCACGAUCUCUAGAUUCAGCCCUUUGUCGCUCCUGAUUCGU
rfam:Ipomoea nil DNA, scaffold: scaffold2450, cultivar: Tokyo-kokei standard.